UAUAUGAUUCUCAUGAUUUUGCCUUGGUGCUUCUUGAAUUUCUUUCCUCCAAGAAAAGGAAAAUUAAUUGUUUGACAUGCUGAAGUCUAACCUUUUCACUACAAAUGAUUGAGAGUAUGUGGAAGAGAUAAUCCUGAACUUAUCUACAAAUGCUAGAGAAUAACCAGCUUCGUGGUCCAGAAAACUUGCUUUAAUUUGGAUCCCAUAAAGGUGAAUUGUCGUGGAGGUUCUCCCUGCAUGUUUUGUGCUCUCAAUCUGUUGGGUAUUUUGUUUCCUGUUCUUUUAUGAUAUAUCAGAUUAUUAUUUUUUUGGUUAAUUUAUUAUGGACUUCUCUCUUUUUCGAUCCAUAUGCUCAAAGAAAGAAAGAAGUCACUACCAUAGCUGCAAUUUCAGUAAGAUAUGAAUUGCCAAGCCAAGAUACAAUUUUAAUAGCUCCAUAGCCUAACUUAAAUAUUUUUCAUCAGAGCCUCCAUGUUGACAGGUGACGGUGGAGUUGGCAACUAAGAAGCAGCUGAAGACAGCAACAAUGGCAUACAUAUGAACAUGCAUAUUUGAUAUUACUUUGGUCUCAAUUUGACCUCCAUUUACGUCUUACGAUUUGAAGUGUUGUUUCAGAGAGAAAAUGACAGUCAGUAGUCUCAGCAUCAAGAAACGUUUGGAGGAGAUAAACCAUUUUGGUCUGUCCAGAUACAAUUUUGGCACUCAAGUCAAGGAGUUCAAUCUACAUUACUGCUAUGCAUAGAAGAUAAGCGAGUCACCAAGCCUUGUACUUCGCCACAGAUUGUUCCGUAAAAUUUUGGUAUGAUUUUUAUUUCAUUAAAUCCUUGAACUAAUAUAUACUAUUUGUAGUCUGAAGAGUUUUGAGUUCUUAUGAAUUUGACCCCUUUGAGAUUGAAAAAUGUGUUCCAUACUUUGCAAUUAGUACUUUGGAUCCUUGCUUGCUUAUUGAUAUUUAUAGUGUAGAGUGAGGGAAGGUGACAGAAAAACAUUCAAGUUAUAGAGGCUGAACAACCAACAGGUUAAAUCAUGGGAAAUGAUUAAUUA